rnacentral:rRNA from 1 species
AGCGAACGCUGGCGGCAGGCCUAACACAUGCAAGUCGAACGAAGCCUUCGGGCUUAGUGGCGGACGGGUGAGUAACACGUGGGAACGUACCUUUUGGUUCGGAACAACUCAAGGAAACUUGAGCUAAUACCGGAUGAGCCCUUAGGGGGAAAGAUUUAUCGCCGAAAGAGCGGCCCGCGUUAGAUUAGCUAGUUGGUGAGGUAAAGGCUCACCAAGGCUACGAUCUAUAGCUGGUCUGAGAGGAUGAUCAGCCACACUGGGACUGAGACACGGCGCAGACUCCUACGGGGGGCAGCAGUGGGGAAGCAUGGGCAAUGGGCGUAAGCCUGACGCAGCCAUGCCGCGUGAAUGAUGAAGGUCGUAGGAUUGUAAAAUUCUUUUACCAGGGACGAUAAUGACGGUACCUGGAGAAAAAGCCCCGGCUAACUUCGUGCCAGCCGCCGCGGUAAAAC